AUUGAACGCUGGCGGCAGGCCUAACACAUGCAAGUCGAACGAGUGGCGGACGGGUGAGGAAUGCCUGGGAAACUGCCCUAUGGAGGGGGAUAACUACCGGAAACGGUCGCUAAUACCGCAUACUAUCAGAUGUGCCCAGAUGGGAUUAGCUUGUUGGGGGGGUAAAGGCUGACCAAGGCGACGAUCCGUAACUGGUCUGAGAGGAUGACCAGCCACACUGGAACUGAGACACGGUCCAGACUCCUACGGGAGGCAGCAGUGGGGAAUAUUGGACAAUGGGCGAAAGCCUGAUGCAGCCAUGCCGCGUGUAUGAAGAAGGUCUUCGGAUUGUAAAGCACUUUCAGUGGGGAGGCGUUACCCGCAGAAGAAGCACCGGCUAACUCCGUGCCAGCAGCCGCGGUAAUAC
rnacentral:rRNA from 1 species